UCUCUUCUCAUUUUCAGUUAGAGAUCGUGGAUACUUGGAUCUAUUCUGCCUCCAAUACUUAAUAAUAGUUUCCCUCGCAUAAAGUCCUUCAGGCUCCACUCCAGUCUCAUGCACCAUAUCUUGAUAUAUUUUCCCCCAAAGCAAGUCAUUGUCAGGGAUAGGCACAUCAUACUCCUUCCUAAUCUUUUCUUUAAGUUCUUGUUGUUUUCUUGACUUCCAUGGUUCC
rnacentral:lncRNA from 1 species